AUGCCGGUCGCCGUGGAAGAAGAGAUGCCAUCCCUCGCCGUGGCAUCCAUCUCGUGCCAUGCCGGCGUACUCGGUCUCCUGAAAUCCCUUCGAACUGCCAGAGCUUUGGAACUGCGGUGGUUCACCACAUGGGCAUUGGUUGGGGAGGAACCCGAACUAUUCAGCGAGUUCCAUAACCUGAGAACAUUGGUCCUGACAGAAUGUCAGAUUGGGGAUGGAUGCCAGGUUCUGGCGCAUGUGUUGAAGAGCUUCCCGAAUCUGGAGAGAAUCGUGCUGCAAGAUUGCAUGAUCUCGGGGAGUUGUAUGAGGGCCAGUCACCGUGGCGCCCCACUCCACGGGUGCUGCCAGAACCUCAAAUCGAUACAAGUCAAAUAUGAAGGGCAUGAUGUCGCUCAUCUGCCGGUUGCCGCGUUGAGGGGGAUUCCAAAGAAUGCGGUCAAGUUGCACCGCGGCGGCCAAAGACCUAUCAGUCCCGUCGAGUGGCUCGACUGGAUGCAGCGCAUCGUCUCCUGCAGCAGCCAUGCCAUUGGCCUAAGCCAGCGAUAUGCGGCCGUCGCCCCUCUGUCAGACUCCGACGAAGAGCACGAGUCCACUACACGGAAGCACCUUGCCAGCAAGAAGCAUGCGAGGGACAUCGCCUUCAAGGCGCGCCAAAGGGGCCAUCUAACCUGA
rnacentral:rRNA from 1 species